GAGACGACACAACAGCAACAACAAGCAACAGCGGCAAUAAAAAUGAAAAGAACAAUCGAUUUUUAAUUCCCUAUUCGCGAUAACAGCAAAAAUCGAGUUAAACUAUUUUAUUACGAGGCGUGUUCGAUCGUAUAGGAAAACUCUGGGUACUUUGGGCGUCGAGUAAAGAGCCACCGUCGCGACGCUCUGCGAGUAAAAUGCAUUUAACAGUAGCAGCAGUAGCAGCAGCAGCAGCAGCAGUAGCAGUAGGAGAAGUAACAACAGCUGCGAGGAAGGAGAGACGAUUUUGUGCGGCGAGCUGCUUUUCCGGACAUCUGCUUUUUCCGUUCGUGAAAAUGCAUUGACGCGUCGCAAAACAGAAAGAAUAAAAAGAUAAGGGAGAGAAACAGAGAGGAAGAGAGAGAAAGGCAAAGAGAGAGAGAGAGAGAGAGAGAGAGAGAACGUUCACGGCAAGACACAGCACGGAUCAGCUGCUCGUCAAAACAAAGCACUCGCGCACUCGGCGCGUUCUGAUAUUCUCUUUCUCUCUUUAGCUUAUUCUUUCCCCUUCUCUUUUCCUCUCUCUCUUUCUCUCUUUCAAUCUCCACACGUUUGAUUCUUCCUUUCGCUUCCACCACUCUUCCAGUCUAUAUAUAAUAGGGUCGAUACGAAGACGAGGACAACGACGAGGACAACGACGACGACGACGACGACUACGACGACGAGGAAGAGGAUGACAACUAUGAUGGGACAACAUAUCACGCAACGUACAACAUAACAAAUCGGAGCUGCGCCAUCGAACGGAAAACGUAUGCGCGCGCGAUGCCAAUCAUGGAACAAAGGGGCUUCACUCGCGCCCUUUUUUACGAUUCACCGAGGGCGAUUCUCUCCCUCUCUCUCUUUCUCUCUCUCUCACACAUACACACACACUCACACACGCACUCACUCACUCACUCACUCACUCACUCACUCAUUUACUCACUUACUCCUUUCUUUGCUUUGUCCAUUUUCCUUUUUUAAUCGUCGACUUGUAUGUCGCACUCCGUUUCUCGUUUACUCUUUCUCUUUCUCUUUAACUCCUUUCGUCUUUUGUUUUGUCGCGAUUCACAAUAAAAAUUACACAAUUUUCUUCUUACCAAAAGGGAACACUUACAUGCAUACUCGAAUUCUCUUUAUUUAUCUUCGUGAUUGCUUGUGCUGCUAAUCUAUUAAUUCACGUCACUAUUCCAGCACAAGCGCACUCCUAGACAAAUCUUUCGCGAUUACGCGCACACCGAACGCUCGACCGAACUGUCAGAGACUGGAGACUGUUCCUCUGCUUUACAAUGCUACGCUAGUACGAAUAUGAGUGAGAGAGAGAGAGAGAGAGAGAGAGAGAGAGAGAAAGAAAUACUUGUUUCGAUGGAGGGGGUGGAAAGUCGAAGGAGAAGAAAGAGGGAGAAGAGGACUAGCUCAGCUCACCGCUACUAUCAUCGUUGUUAGCGUUUCCCUCUGACGCAUCGAGUCGCCAGCUGUUCUUUGUCGGCAAUGCGAUUACGCACGGGCACGGCGAAUGGAAGGUCCGUUCCUGCACACCGAUUGGUCAAUCCUACUUGCUCCGUCGCUAGCGCUCACUACGCACGCGACGACAACGCCAUCUUCAACAUCAGCGCCUCGAAUCAGACAACGAAAACAAAAAUAUAUAGAACGAAGAUGGAUGAUGUCUGUGAUUCGACCAAUAAGAGAUUAAAAAUAACGGGUUGCGCGGCUCUUUGACGCUUCGGCGAAGGCGGGGACCGUCCGGCUUGCGUCCUGGGAUGGCAUGCACAGAACACAGCACCAAACGCCAUACGGUUACACAGAGACAGACAAAAUCCACAGAUAGAAGAAAAGAUAGAGAAAGUUGGGUUGGGAUCGGAAAGGAGCGAGUGGGGGAGGGCUUGAAAUAGAUUACAAGCGACGAGAUGACGACUAUCUGUGCCAAAUACGUGAAAGAAAUAAUGAUUCGAAGGAGACUCACUUUCGAUGCACCGCCUCCUGCAACACCUCCGCCACCUCCGCCACCCCCGCCACCGGAAACGUUUGAAUUACGCGCGGGCGUAACAUAGAGACUCUCGGUUCGUUUCGGUUGCCCAGGACUUGGGAGGAUGUCUUGACCAAGGUUGCGGUUCUUUAAAAGUGCUCCUUCAAAUUGCCCGGAAGUCGAUGCCGCAUAAGUUGGUGUCGCCGUACCACUUCCUACCACCGAGCCGUUCAAUGGCGUGCCGGAUCGAAUAACACUGGGAGCCCUCGUCGAUCUUAAAACGCAUCAUUUUCUUUAAAGUUUUCGUAAAAAUAUUUUACUCAAAAAUCUAUCCUUUUCAAAGGAACUAUCGAUAUUUAUUUAAAACAUUUACUGCCUUGCACAAAUGCAAUAUAACAUCAUACAAUAUCGUUUAGUACCAUUAAUUACUUCUUUUUUUUUUUUCUUUUUUUUCGAAUGGAAUUCAAUACGAGUUCUUAAUAUUAAUUUCUUACUUAAUUAGGUUAAUUUUUUAUUUACGAUAUUGAUCUUUUUACCUGUCGAUUAGAUCCGUGGAUGUAUUUGUUACGGUUUUGUCAACAGACGGCUGUCUUGAUCCUGUCAAUCGGGAAUGCGCUCUGGCAUAUCGAUCUACGGAACUAUCACGACUAGGUGGCCUCUUGUAAUGAUCCAGCCUACAAUAAAUUAUAGCAUUUUGUGUUAUGUAAUAAUAAUAUCGGAGAAUAUUUUAUUUUCC